rnacentral:rRNA from 1 species
GUGGGGAAUAUUGCACAAUGGGGGGAACCCUGAUGCAGCGAUGCCGCGUGGAGGAAGAAGGUUUUCGGAUUGUAAACUCCUGUCUUAAAGGACGAUAAUGACAGUACUUUAGGAGGAAGCUCCGGCUAACUACGUGCCAGCAGCCGCGGUAAUACGUAGGGAGCGAGCGUUGUCCGGAAUUACUGGGUGUAAAGGGAGCGUAGGCGGGAUCGCAAGUUAGAUGUGAAAUACAUGGGCUCAACCCAUGGGCUGCAUUUGAAACUGUGGUUCUUGAGUGAAGUAGAGGUAAGCGGAAUUCCUGGUGUAGCGGUGAAAUGCGUAGAUAUCAGGAGGAACACCGGUGGCGAAGGCGGCUUACUGGGCUUUUACUGACGCUGAGGCUCGAAAGCGUGGGGAGCAAACAGGAUUAGAAACCCUAGUAGUCC